rnacentral:lncRNA from 1 species
UAUUUCACAUUUUUAUAAAACUAUUCUUAGGCGUUUUUCUAUCUGAGCUGUCACCGACACUUCUACAUCUAUCAACACACCAUCGUACAUAUCUAUCUGAUUCCCAUUAUAUGUGUGAAAGAGAGGCCAAACAUUUGGUAACUCUAAGAUAAGAACUUCGCUGGUGUUUGUACAUCUUAUAAACCUUUUCAACUAUUGACUUCAAAAGAUUUCCGUUUCACAUUUUUUUUAGACUAUUUCCAAACCCUUUUAUAUUCAAACAACAAAUGACAUUAUUUACAUUUUGUUAAAAUAUUCUCAAAUACUUUUCUAUCUGAUCAAUCACCAUUGCUUGUUUCUCUAUCAACACACUACCGUACGUAUCUAUUUGAUCCCCAUUAUGAUAUAUAUGAAAGAGCGUUAAGAUAAUUCCCAAACCAUCUUCCUAACAUGGAACUUUUGCGUUGAAACAUUUUUCACGUAAUAGUUUUCAAGCAAAAUGAAUAGAGAUCCCCCUCAAUUAACUGUAGGUCAUUCUGAAAUGGCACUCACAAUUUUAACUUUCUUGAUUGAUGUUGUUCUAACUAACUUUCAAUAUUUUUUUAUUUCAACCGAUCAUAUCUAGCACAGUUGGCUAAAGACUUCAAUGGUUGGUAUCCGAGAUCUAAAUUCGAACCCUAGUUAUUUCACAUUAUUAGCUGAGUCUAUUUAUAAAGAAUGGAGGAAGCGUGUACCUAACACGCCAUCUUACUCUCAAAAAAAAAAAAAUUAAAAAAUUUUCAU